GAACCAACUGGGAUUGCCUUAGUAACGGCGAGUGAAGCGGCAAAAGCUCAAAUUUGAAAUCUGGUACCUUUGGUGCCCGAGUUGUAAUUUGGAGAGUACCACUUUGGGACUGUACUUUGCCUAUGUUCCUUGGAACAGGACGUCAUGGAGGGUGAGAAUCCCGUGUGGCGAGGGUGUCAGUUCUUUGUAAAGGGUGCUCGAAGAGUCGAGUUGUUUGGGAAUGCAGCUCUAAGUGGGUGGUAAAUUCCAUCUAAAGCUAAAUACAGGCGAGAGACCGAUAGCGAACAAGUACAGUGAUGGAAAGAUGAAAAGAACUUUGAAAAGAGAGUGAAAAAGUACGUGAAAUUGUUGAAAGGGAAGGGCAUUUGAUCAGACAUGGUGUUUUGCGCCCCUUGCCUCUCGUGGGCUUGGGACUCUCGCAGCUCACUGGGCCAGCAUCGGUUUUGGCGGCCGGAAAAAACCUAGGGAAUGUGGCUCUGCGCCUCGGUGUAGAGUGUUAUAG
rnacentral:rRNA from 1 species